GUAUACUCAAAGUAUUGGACGCCCAGCCCAGCCCACCAGAAGAGGACAAACCAGAUUCGAUUCCUCCUCCUGUCCUCCAUCUCCCCAAUUCGCACGGCCAUCGGACCAUGGAUUCCGGCGUGCCUGCCUCUGCGCCUGCCCCUCCCAAACACAAGACAUGCCGGAAGUGCAAGGCGAGCUAUGACCCCUCGGCCAACACGCGCCUCUCCUGCAGGUUCCACCCUUCCUUCUUCGUCUGCCGCCGCCACGACGACCAGAAGAGGUACUACGAGCUCCGCGACGGCGAUCCUCCCUACGCCGCCAAGUUCUACGACUGCUGCGGCGCCGAGGACCCCGACGCUCCGGGCUGCACCACUGACUUGCACCGUUCCUACGACGACGCCCAAGACUAGCAAACCUUUGCUGCUUCCACAGGCCUCAUCUUAAUCUCAAGUCUCAUCUACCGUUUCGCUUUUGCAUCCCCUCCUUAUCCUCUCUAGUCAGCUAUCAAAUUAAACCAUCUAUGUACACUUAAAUAAAUUUUGCUUCAGAUAUGUUACCUACUGGAGCUUUUUUUUUCCUUUUUUUUUGCAAUUGAUCAAACAUAUCUCUCUUCAUCUAUACACCGUCUGUUUGGUUGGCUUGCCUCUCAGGAUGCUUUAAGUAUCAUACGAGUCUGACUCCACAUCUGCACGUAGGUAACCAAACACACACCUCGCACACGUAAAGCCUGGAACCAAACACAUGAAUACUAAACUGGAACAUAAGGCGCCCCCUAUCUGAACUCCCAAAAAAAGCCAGCAAUUCAUAAAAGUUUAUGUCAUACAAACUUUGAUUCAGUAAUUCUGAUUCAUUGUAAUAACAUCGAUCUUGUUUGGAAUAAACAUUUCACUGGGAUAUAGAAUAUCCAAAUGUAAAUAGUUUCUGUCCAUGCAUAUCCCACACCUGUUUUUAUAAAAAAAAAAUCAGGCCGUCAGUAUUCUCUUUCAGUUCUUCAUUCAAAUGAUAAUUCAGGGACUUCAAGGGAAGGUGGUGCAUCACUUUUAACAGCAAGGGCACGUGGGUAUAGAUCUGAUCGGCGCGAUUUUUUUCUUUCUUUCUUUCCGGACAGCGGCACCGCACCGGGUACUAUUUUGACCUCGGUCGCUCAAAAUCUCUGUCUGUCGGCCCGCCAGACCCCAGACCUAGACCCUCCAAAAACAACUCAACAACAAUGCUGCUCCUCCUCCUCCUGCUCGUCGCCUCCUCCUCCCUGUCCCAGGAGGGCGUCCUCGCCGACGUGCCGCCGUCCAACAAGCUGGUCUUCAUCCUGGCGGGGCAGUCCAACAUGGCCGGCCGCGGCGGGGUGGUGGCGAACCGCUGGGACGGCGUGGUGCCGGGCGACUGCGCGCCGUCCCCCGCGGUGCUGCGUCUCUCGCCCGACCUGCGCUGGGAGGAGGCGCGGGAGCCGCUGCACGCCGGCAUCGACGCCGCCAACCACGCCGUCGGGGUGGGCCCCGGGAUGGCGUUCGCCAACGCGCUGCUGCGCUCGGGCCGCGCGGGGGGCGCCGUGGUAGGGCUCGUCCCCUGCGCCGUGGGAGGCACGCGGAUGGCAGAGUGGGGCAGGGGCACCGAGCUCUACGCCGAGAUGCUGCGCCGGGCCAGGGUCGCCGUCGAGACGGGGGGCCGCAUCGGUGCGCUGUUGUGGUACCAGGGGGAGAGUGACACCGUCCGCUGGUCCGACGCCACCGAGUACGGCCGCCGGAUGGGGAUGCUCGUCCGUGAUCUCCGCGCCGAUCUUGGCAUCCCGCACCUCCUCGUCAUCCAGGUCGGGUUAGCAUCGGGCCUAGGACAGUAUACUCAAGUCGUGAGAGACGCUCAGAAAGGGAUCAAACUUCGCAACGUCAGAUUCGUUGAUGCGAUGGGGUUGCCAUUGCAAGACGGCCAUCUGCAUCUAAGCACCCAAGCUCAAGUCCAGCUUGGGCGUAUGUUGGCUCAGUCCUAUCUAAAUUAUGGACAUGCACACUCUCCAACCCCUAAACCAUGGUGGCUGCAAAUCGUUUUGGUAUUUUGCUUCAUUUUUGUUUGAAACGGAGCAUGCAAAUCGUUCAGGUGAGCAGAAGAAGAAGAAGAAACCCAAAUGAGUUUAACAUAGGCAUCCAGGACUUAUUCUGUCAAUCAAUAAGUCUCAUUGUCUGACUAGUUGUAAUGUAAAAGGAGAACACAGAGAGUAGUCGACAGUCUUGAUAAGCAUUUGAAAUUUGCCUAACUUUGGAGUUGGUCAGAAUUCAAUCAGAUAGAUAUACAUAUGGAAUCUCUUUUAGAGGGGCAUUGCUACCCUUUUCUUCGCAAAACUCCCUUCGCUCCUAUGGUACCAAAAUGCUUCAUCUGAGCUCUGGUUUUAGGUCACGAAGAUCCCAUAGACGAAGCUUACAUAAUUAACCCUAAAACAGACUUGCUAACGAAUAGAACUCAUUGGUUUGAGUACCUUUGUUUAGGCACAUCUUCUUCUGUCUCGUCGUUCAAUCGCACGUCUGUAUGAUCCAUACUACUUACUUAUUUUUGGAACAAUCUCGGGCGCAACGCUUUCCGACCCAGAGUUGGGUGAAGCAGACCUUUUUAGAGGGCACUUUUACGUUUCGACCCCUCAGGAGACACGGGUCAUGUGAAGCGUGGAGUGGGUCUAUUCUCGAGUUACCGUGGUCUUUGUUGUACCUAUGAUAUUCAUUCCUGACAUUAUCCUACUCAUGUUUUCUUAUCAUAAAUCACAUUGUUGGAUUUUUUGUAGAGAUCAUUUCUUCAUAAAAAAUAUAUAGGUAUUAUACUUUGUUAUUACCGAAAACAAUCAUUUAUAGCGAUCUCUGACCAAAAUGUCGGUUGUAUGCGCAUCGAUCGUAUGCGAGAGGCUCCUAUUCCUUACCCACUCAUGUUUCCUUGCCAUAAAACAUGUUUAUUGGAUUUUUUUUUGUGGAGACCGUUUCUUCGUAAAAAUCAAUAGGUGUUAGACUUUGGUAUCGCUGAAAACAGUUGAUUAUUGUGUUUUGGCCAAAAAUAACGGUUGUAUGUCCAUCUAUCUUUAAUGAGAGUCUCCUAUUGCUUACCACACACAUUUUUUUUUGCCAUAAAUUAGUUUCUUGAAUUUUUGGGAUGAUAUUUCUUCAUAAAAAAUCAAUAGGUGUUUUUUUUGCUAGAAAUCGUAUUCUUAGAAUUUUGGUGCAAAUCAUUCCUUUGUGAAGAAUCCAUAUAUGUUAGUUUUCGGUAUUCUCGAAAAUGUUUGUUCAUAGCCUUUUUCACCCAAAAAAUGUCGGUUGUAUGCCUAUCGAUCAUCGGCGAGUGGAUUUUAUCCUUACACCACUCAUGUUUUUAUGACAUAAAUCACAUUCUUGUGAAAAAAAUCUAUAGGUGUUAACCUUUGACAUUUCCAAAAAAUCUCUCCCAUCAAUCGUUUAUAUAUUGCUUGACCUGGUCAUAACUCAAAGGAUAACACUCUCUACUGUCUAAUAGGAAAAACGUUCCACCCAAUAAAACCAGAAAUGGGACAAGCCAAAUAAAAUGAUCGCCACAAGCGUGCUGAAGUCCAUGCCUGCUGAUUGAUGGAUGAUGGAUUGUCGUGUCAUGUCAUCCGUCAGCUAAGCCUUCGCCAUCUACUCGGUGGCCAACUCCAGGUACCCAUAGCGGUGGCGUCGGUACGCCCGCGGAGGACACGGAUGCCGCGGAUGGAAAUCUCCGACCUGGCGCACGAACGAGCAAACCAAGGCGAUAGAGAAUAAGCCCAGAACCUCUAUGUUUGGCGGAUGCACUUCACCCUCCAAAUUUUACCGGACCUUUUACGGGAGCUUGUUGGACGCAUAAAGUAGCUUAAGAACCGCUAUAUAUAAUGUACAGAACGCUUUACCGAGCGUUGCUGGAGUACUGUGUCAACCAGUACA